CGUGAUAUGCAUAACAAGGCGUAGUUUACGCAGUUUGACGCCGGACCUGACUAUGGAAUAUUAAACACAAAGUUUCUUUAUUUUUAACAAGUCUAGUUAGAGCACGGCGAUCAACAUGCAGUCAUGAAACACAUUCCCAUCAAAGAAAAGCGUGUGGCUACUUUGGAAAUCAACAAGUUCUGAUGUAAGUUUGCUUGGCGUCGGUGAUAAUAAAAUAAUGAGCUUGUAGGACCAUUGAUAUGGUCAUAAGUAUAUAAUAUAAUAUAAUUAAUACUGUCAUUGAUCUAAAUUCAGGCUUAUGGAUCGAAAGCUUUGAAAUUAUAAUAACAUAUGGCACACAUGGAAAUCUAAGAUCAGUUGAACGGCUCAACUUCAUUAAUAUAAGUGGUUCAGUUUAUUGGCUGGUAGGAGCAUUAAAGGCAUAUGAGACCAGUCAGUUGGAACUUGGCAGUUGAAAAGAACAGGCAGAAUUUUGAGCAAAAUUUGAGAAUUCACAGGAGUUCGAAGUCGGGAGGAGAAGAGAAAAUCAGCGACAUAAAUUCAACAAUAUUAAUGCUAAAGGUAGGACAUAUGCACGAACUAGAACUUAAUUACUAGAAAGCGUUAAUCGUAGUCUGCAUUGGAGUCAACGCGGAGCCAGGAUUGCGGUAACGGAAUUGCGGAGACGGAAUUGCAGAAGCUGGAUUGCAAAACGGCAUGGAGGAUAAAAAUGCGGCAUUGGAGAUAAAACGCAAAAAGGGGGGUAAAACAUCUGUUUCAGAAUAUGUUGACAAUUGUACUACCGCCUAAAUAGCAGGUACAUAUAUGAGAUACUGAAGCACUGGCUACCAUCCUCCUAUCAAUUGCUUUCGCUUGAAAUGUUCAAACGUUCGGCCCACUCGCUUCCACUAAAUAAGCAGUACGUAUCGCAUAUUUUGAUCUGACAAGUUGAAAACUAUAACACACAAGUUGCUUUGUUUUCAAAUAAGAUUUAUGUUAUGUUGCUUACUAAAACGUCUGGUUUGUAUUAUAUGAAAGAGUAAUCAAGCGGUUACAAAACAAUGCAAAUUCUGCUUGCAACAGUACACCUAAUAAUGCUUCACACCUCGUACUCAUAUUCUUAUUAUCAGCAUGACAAAAUUUCUGCAGUGUGAUUGGCAGAGAGGUGUAAAAUUAUUUUAUUAAUCGAAUGGUUUGUAAAACACAAGUGCGCUUGGGAACACAGUAAUCAUCAGCCCAUUUUGCGCGAAAAAAUACUAAAUUAUUGUGGUAGAAUUGGAUCAGCGUAAAAUUAAUCAAUUAUAACACAUAUUCUUAAUUAAACUAUGGUCAACCAAAAGACUCACCAAGUAUCAUGCUUUCAUCGCGGGGGUAUGUACAAGACUGAAUGCAAAUGAGUAGCGAACCUCUUUAGAUAUUAAUCUGAACCAAGGGGUCUUCUUAAUACUCAUGGACAGUUUCGGACGAUUCAACUUAUUUACAAUAAAUAAUCUUGAGUCUAUGCAUGCACAAAAAUUCCACAUGAUUUCACAUGUGUGAAAUUUCACAUGUGAAUUUGGAACAUGUGAUUUUUCACGUCUGAAAUUUUCCCAUGUGAAAUUAUGUUUCACAUGUUCCAAUUUCACAUGUGAAACAUUUCACAUGUGAAGUUUCACAUGUGAAACACAUAAUUUCACAUGUGUUCACAUGAAUCACAUGUUCCGAAUUCACAUGUUCCAAAUUCACAUGUGAAAUUUCACCUGUGAAACUUCACAUGUGAAACACAUAAUUUCACAUGUGUUCACAUGUGAAAAUUCACAUGUUCCAAAUUCACAUGUUCCAAAUUCACAUGUGAAAUUUCACAUGAGAAACUUUACAUGUGAAACACAUAAUUUCACAUGUGUUGACAUGUGAAACUUCACAUGCGAGAUAUCACAUCUUCCAAAUACACAUGUGAAAUAUCACAUGUUGCAGUUUCACAUGUGAAAUUAUGCAAAUCUUCAAUCAUGCACAUUUAAACCUGUCAAACAGUGAGAUACUGUAAUGGUAUAUAUAGGAAGUUUAAAUAAUUUUUUAACUCUUUAUCGACAAGCGACAGUUUGACGAUUUUACAACUCAAUUGUUUAUAACGUAAAUAUCUCAGCGCGUAUUCACCCCCCUUUAAAACAAAGAAUACCAUUGAAAUCCUAAUAAAACAACCUUUUCAACGGGGGGUUGAAUGCCGUCAAAGCAUUACACAAACCGAAACAAUCAUAUAUUUACUCACCGCUUGGCCAAAGUUUCGGAAUUUCGUUUCCACAAUAGCGUAAAUAACUUGUGAAUUCUUCAGAGUUCGGCUCAAAUCAAUAUGAGUGAAAUAUGUGCUGUAUUCAAGCGCUUUUAUAUCCAGAAUUUCACUUGAAUACAGCCAGUAGAAAUGUUUAUUUUGAGUUUUUAAAAAUAUCGGGUUUUUCUUGGUUUUUCUCGCACGCGCCUGCCACACGUUAAAAUUGGCGAAUAAGAAGUACCCGUAGCCCGAUGCACGUGCAAAUCAUGCUGCAGAUGUAAUUUAACCUUUAAAUCGCAUUUCCGGUCAAAAAAAUCCCGCUGAGUUCGCUAAUAUCGCAACAGAUUGAAAUAUCGAAAUAAAAGACGAAGAACUAAGGCUACAAGCCUCAAAAUAACACUGUAAAUAGUGUUUUUGAUUGUGAAUCGAACAAGACUACAACAAAAAUUACAUGUUUGAAGGGGCCGAAGUUGUGGCUGGCAAAAGGUAUGGCUUUAGUGAUAAAUUGUUUACAUUUUUCGAACAAAUAUGUAAUUUGUUGAAAUAUGAUACGUCUUGACCCUUCAAAGGUCAUAAAUCGCUAUAAUGUUUGUCUUUGACUAAAACUAUCAUUAUGAAUCAGGAAAUAUUAUUUCGCUGAAUUGAAUGGUGGUAUUUUCAUCUACGUAGCAUGUACUGAACCGAAGAUAUGAACCUCCAAAAUACUAUUGCAGUUCUGCAAAAUCGCAUUUCCGGUCAAAAAAUAUCCCGUUGACUUCACUAACAUCGCAACAGAAUGAAAUAUUGAAAUAAAAGACGAAAACCCGAGGCUACAAGCCUCAAAAUAACACUGUAAAUAGUGUUUUUGAUUGUGAAUCAAACAAGACUACAAUGAAAAACACAUGUUCGAAGGGGCCAAAGUUGUGUCCAGCGAAAGGCAUGGUUUUAGUGCUACAUUGUUUACAUUUUUAGAACAAAUAUGUAAUUUGUUGAAAUAUGAUACCUCUCGACCCUUCAAAGGUCAUAAAUCGCUAUAAUAUUUGUGUUUGACUAAAACUAUCACUAGGAAUCAGGAGAUAUUAUUUCGCUGAAUCGAAUGGUGGUAUUUUCAUCUACGUAGCAUGUACUGAACCGAAGAUAUGAACCUCCAAAAUACUAUUGCAGAUCUGCAAUAGUUUUCACAGGGCCGGUCGAAAAGGAGUUUUAAUACAGUUCAUUUCUACAAAUGUUUAGCUACCAUACAAAAUAAUUUAUAAUAAGGAAAAAACUUAGCAGAUCAAAUGUCUUCUGCAAUUUUACUUCUUUUCGUAUCAGCAUUUCUUUUGUGGACCAUGACAGCUUUCACUGAUGGAGCUGUUGCUCCCGCAAAACGUUUAUCACAUGAGCUAUAAGAAAGGAAAUACAAGAAUAUCAUUAGCUGUACAUACUGUAUUUCAUAUACCGGUACUGGAACUCCACAGUCUGUUAACAUUACAGUAUAUAGUACAAGUUCACAGUUCGCAUGCAUCAAUAUGAGCAAUUCCCUCCUGUCCAACCUAUAAACUUUGCAGCACAACCCAACCUUUGGUUGAAGUUCGUUCUAGUAUUAUCAUAAUUGAUAACCAUUGGUUCAUUUGGCUUUUACCCUGACUCAUCCCCAGUAAUGUAUUCUCUGUGUGGGCGAUACAUGGCAAAUUGGAAACUGCUGCAAGGUUAUCUUCUCAACAAGUAAAACUGUAAAAUUUGCUAGCAUUAGACAGAGUAAUAUAAAGUAGAGCAUAUUGCCAGUGAAUGGGUUAAAAAGAGAAAUAUGCGCUAGAUAGGAUUUGUUAACAGCCAUAUAUCUUGCUGUAGAGGAAAAUAUUCAAAUGCGUGAUUCAGUAUUUGUGGAUUGAUUUUAUUCACCAUCAGGAGCUUUAUCAAAUAAAAUUCCAAGACAAAAAUGUGCACGUGGAAACGAAUAGGGUGUGUAAUAAAAGGAAGGUAUGCAGUUCGCUACAACUACAUCUAUACAUGACACAAUUAAAGUAUACCCUACCACCACUGCUUCUUGUCAAAAAGAGUAGUCUGCUACUGACUACAGCUACUGUUUCAAAAUUGUAGCGAAGUAUUCAAUACAUCACUACAAAAAAGUAUAUUGUUAUCCACAUUUGUAUUUUACAUUGAUGUAUAUGUUGUUCCAACUUGUGCUCCGAUUAGCAAGAACGAAAUGAUAAGCAUAAUUAAUAUUAAUUUAAGCAGCUAGAACAGUCUAAACGUAUUACUAAAGCUAAAAGAACAGCGUUAUCUGCUUGUUAGCUUUGCUUAUUGAGUACUUGGGCACAAAUAUGGGCAAAAAGUAUGGCCAGUCAAACAUUUGCGGCAAGUAGACGCGGAGCAAGAUUAAAUAUCUAGAUCUGGAAAGUUCGUCUAUGCAGGCACGAUUAUAUGCGAAUGUUGUCUCCUCGUUCAGCUUUGUGAGUAAACACCAGCACAACCAGACUAGGUAUAGACACUUCACUUCAUUUAACCGAUACAUCCUUCCGGGAUGUACGUCAUUUGGCCAUAGAGCCUCGUUUCCGUUUCGUUUCAUAAUGCGGGAAGAACAAAAAGGUGAGCCACUCGCCUUUGCGGCUCGUGGACACUCUUUUGUUCUUCUCACAUUACAACUUCAUAAUUUUAUCUAUUUGUUAAAUGGCGAAAAGGUGCGAUUAAGAGGCUAGGAUGUAACUAAUCUCACAUACAGGAGAAACGGAAAUUUAUACGGCCGUUCCUGUAGUGAGAUUCAGUGAGAUUUUUUAACUACUUCGCCAAUAGCCAAAUUAUUUGAAAGCCGCUGGUGAGCGUUGGGAUUCAUAUCUUAUCCCAAAUUCCGCGUUUUAUCUCUAUACAGCUUCCACAAUUCCGGAUCCGCAUUUUAUCCCAACAUUUUUAUCAAAAAAUCUAGAAAUAACCGUCCGUGUCCAAGAGAAUUCGGCUUCUGUUAAGACUGAAUAAGUAUAAACAUAAUACAUGACACUGAAAGUUUUACAAAUACAUUUGACAUAUCCGUGAUUGCGUAAUUGGCUUUCAAAAUUAAAACCUUGUUAAUGUUGAAGUGCAUACACAUAUGACAAUCAACAACUUACGCGACUAGCGUCUGUGCUUAACUUCCUGACGUGCGUGAAGUUCCUGAUUGUUACCGAAAGAUUACAUGAAAGCAAAGCGCUAAGUGUACGGUACAAUUCAAUUUUCGCAUUGUUGUAAUAUUUACUAGAAAUACAUUCAUGCAGCAACCCCUCGCCUAUCAUUUUCCAAACAUCGAUUUAACAUGAAGUAAGUGAUCAACACUGGACACAGACUCACGUUUACGUCAGUGUUGCCAUGGCAAGACGAUAAUUUUAUUUUAUAUUAAAUUUAACCCGAAUCGCUUAGUAUUGAUUUCAAAUUAUAAUAAAAUUGUUCGUGUCGUUGGCGUACGGGCGGGAAAAUUAUAGGAGCUGACAAAAGAUGUUGAUCAGAAGUUAAAUUCAAGGAACACAUCUCAAAUACAGACCAGCUAAAAGAAAGUCAAUUUUAAAGGAUAGAUGAAAAUAACUAUUUUGGAGUAUUUCUGGGAUAGUUUUCUCCUCGAUCUACUGUAUGCAAUUUGAGUUUAAAGAAAAAAAAUCACUGUCAUUUAGUGUUUCCGACGGAACAUCUGGCAUCGACAUUAAUAACACAACAAAAUACAUUAUACUGAGAAGAGGAGGCCUAGCAAAUUCCCCGAUUUUUUAAGUUGGAUCGGCCGGACUAAACACUGACUGGGAAAGGGGUGGCCUGAAGCCCUCGAGCCAACAUGAUGUUUCGUGUUGUCAAACGUUUUGAUGAAUCGUUUGAUGAAUACAUUAAUAGAAACCACAUACAUAGUAUUGGAAGAUUUUAAUUUGGCACAUAUUUUCACAGAUCCAGUGAAUAUUGUAAUAUACACUGUUGCAAUUAUAGGUGAUACUUAGGAGUUAUCUUUGCGUAAUAACUGGUGCUUAAUUUAAGCAAAAUGUGGAUAAUCAAACUUCUAACAAUAUAUUAAAGUUUUGUUGUGAACUUGUGUAAUUAUUAUGAUAGUAAUGUGAAAUAUAAAAUUAAUUGAAUAUCAAAACAGACGGUAUUUGACAUAAUUGAUGAAGACUGGCGUGAACAUCAUGAUUAUAUAGAUAUAUAAUUGAACUAUUAGUAUAGGUAAUCAUGGCGAGUACAAUUAGGGAUUAAUAGUACGAGUGAAAUUUUAUUUGAAAACUUCGCAUUGAUGGGAAUGCAACUACGUGAAAAAAUACGAGGGGAACGUCGACGUCUUCAAGUCAAAUACUGACGAAGUAAACUUCGAAGAUGUCCUUGUGUUUUUCAGUUGCAUCCCUGUCAUUUCGACGUUUUCCUAUUCUUUGCAGUACCUACACUAGAUAGACUGGCACAGAUCGUUCGAGAAUAUACAAUUUUACAGUUGAUUUGUAGAAGCACGAAGCAGCUAUACAAGCGGGAUUUAAAAGUAAUAAAAAUAUGACGUGUGGGUCCUUGAAUGAACAAGGCAAGGACAUAUAUAACAGAUCUAGUUUAAAAAAGUACAAAAGCUCAUGCAGUUAUAUCGAUCGUCAGAUCGUGAUCUGUCCACAAAGCAACAAACAUUGCAUGCUAAAGCGUUAGUGAUGUAUUGUCACUUUCACAGUCAUACUAUAUAAAGUUAACGUAUUCGCUUUUCAAAAGAACCAAGAAACAACACAGCACUUUUUUGGGUCCCAAAAUACGUGUGCAAUUUCGAUCCAAUCGAUUAAUACGAUUGUAUAAAUUGAUGUAAUAAAUCUUUACCUCUAGCACUCUGGCUACGAUUUGUAUUUGAACAUGAAUUAAUUAAUUGUUUGUACUUAGCAAAAUCACCACCGAACAGUGUCCUAUAUAGACGCUUGAAUAAGUCAAAAUUGUUGUUGACGCAGUUGUAAUAGACUAGUUAUUCUGACCUUGUUAAAAUUUGUUUGACUAGUGUGGUUUUCAUUCUUAUAGCUCCACGUUCGAGUUUUGCAGUGAUGUUUACAAACCAAACAUAUGAUGAUACAUGGAAUAACAGUGAUUGGAUGAAAUAUGUUGCAUUUCUGAAACAAAUUGAACUAGCACAUAAAAUUAUAUUAAUCUUUAUAGCCAUUCUCACAAUUCUGGGCAAUACUUUGGUCUUGGUAGUGACCUGGAGAGAGAAAAGUCUUCAUCAACCAAACAAAUAUUUUAUUGCUUUCCUGGCAGUUGCUGAUCUUUUGGUUGGUAUCUUUUUAGACCCACUGAAGGCGAACCAACUCUUCGACGACUCUGAAUCGCGAUAUACCGUAUCCAUUCAUCUAUGUCGUUUUACGGUGUGGAUAGAUAACUUCGCGUUAGCAGCAUCGAUUUUGAGUUUAGCGUUCAUUAGUUUUGAUCGUUAUCUCAAAAUCAGCAAACCUCUUCAGUAUAAGUCCAAAAUGACUACUUCUAAAUCAUUGAAAAUCAUUUUUACCAUUUUGUUGGCUUCAAUUGCCUUUGCCACCUACGCCGCCACUCCUUAUUCAGGAAGCUAUGGAAUUCUCCUGAUGGAUAACAAUUUAAAUUAUUGCCAAGCCGCUGAUAAUAAAGAAAAGGAGUUCUACACUAUCUUAUUUGUCGCGUUCUUUGUGGUUACCAUAGUUAUAAUGGUAAUGUACGCUCUCAUCUUCGUUGUUGCUCACAAACGACAAAUGAAGCUGCGAAAUGGCGAACUGGGUCAAACGUUGAAUGAUCGGAACCAACGAAGUGUCUUUCUUCAAGAUCUCAAGGUUAUCCGAAUGUUGUUGGUCAUCGUGGGAGUGUAUAUACUUUGCUGGUUUCCUUUUGUUAUUUAUAAUAUGUUGGCGCUUUACGAUCCGAAAAUUAUUGAUUGGGACAGCACGUCAUUAAAUUAUCAGUAUUCGAUCAACAUAUCAGUAAUGGUAGUUGGCCUGCUGCCGCUGUUUAACAGCCUCUGCAAUCCGAUAAUUUACGCCUGUUUGGACCGGAAAUACAGAGAAGCUUUCAAAAAUCUCUUUCAGCGAAUGAUAUGUCGGUCAAACUCACAAAGUCGACAACCACAAAUCGGAAUAGAGUUACGUCCUCCAAGAACAAGAGAAAGCAACAUCUCAUUAAAUUGCGAAUUGUAGAUUGGCAUAAACUAUAUAUUUACUGAAGAGAUGAAUUUAGACACUAAAACAAUUAAACUUGUUCCAGUUAAACAAAUGUUACCACCGUUUAAUUAAACUAAAAUCAGUUCCAUUCAUUGUAUAUAUAUAUAUAUAUAUAUAUAUAUAUAUAUAUAUAUAUAUAUAUAUAUAUAUAUAUAUAUAUAUAUAUAUAUAUAUAUACGUUUGGUGUAGAACCUUAUCUGGUUGUACUUGAUCAAUUGUAAAAUAUUAGUGUCAAAUCUUAAAUCUGUAAGCUCAUCCCUUAAACUCCAGGUGAACAUGAAAAGACCUGGAAGACAGUCAUUGCAUAUUUGGGACACCUUGUAUAGUUUUUUGCUCCAAUGGAGAAUUGGCUUGGUCAGUGGGUUUAUAAAAAGCUGAAGUCGUGUUUUUAUAUAUUUAACACGAAAAAAACCUGGAUACGUGCUAGACCAGUUGCUAAAUAUCAUCUUUAUGUCAUAGGCAGAAAAAGCUAAUAUAAAUACCAAUACAUGGAAAUAAACAAAACUUCGGGAUGUAAUGUUAUCGUCUUAUUUAAUAUUCAAAUUUUCAAAUUUACGAAAGAAUAAAAGACAAAUAUAUUUUUUUAAACGUAUUCAGCGGGGGAGGGGCGAUAUUACCAGUGCCAAAUUUAAAUGGUAUAACUCUGGAACGUUUUAAUUUAAAUUCGCGAAACUUCACGACUUUUCACUUUUCCUAAAAUGUAUUUGUGAAAACGAUAAUGUAGUGAUUUGGUCGCUUACCUAAGCCAUGUUGCCAUGGUGACCAAAUUUAUGAUGACGUGUCAAGUAUUAUCUCCAUUUUUUCUCCUAAACAACCGUUAUUUUGAUGUUUUAUUAACAUUUUUGGGUUUAAAGCAAAUUUUUGUAAGCU